GGGGCUGUUGCUCAGUGGCAGAGCAUCUGCUUUUCAUGCAGGAGGUCCCAGGUUCAAUCCCUGGCAGUAGCUCCA